rnacentral:rRNA from 1 species
AACGAACGCUGGCGGCAUGCCUAACACAUGCAAGUCGAACGAGACCGUCGGGUCUAGUGGCGCACGGGUGCGUAACGCGUGGGAACCUGCCCUUAGGUUCGGAAUAACUCCCCGAAAGGGGUGCUAAUACCGGAUAAUGUCUUCGGACCAAAGAUUUAUCGCCUUUGGAUGGGCCCGCGUUGGAUUAGCUAGUUGGUAGGGUAAAAGCCUACCAAGGCGACGCUCCAUAGCUGGUCUGAGAGGAUGAUCAGCCACACUGGGACUGAGACACGGCCCAGACUCCUACGGGAGGCAGCAGUGGCGGAUAUUGGACACUGGGCGGCAGCCUGAUCCAGCUCUGCCGCGUGAGUGAUGAAGGCCUUAGGGUUGUACAGCUCUUUUACCCGGGAUGAUAAUGACAGUACCGGGAGAAUAAGCUCCGGCUAACUCCGUG